AGUGGGAAGGGCGGGAGAGCAGAAGGCGGUGGAGGGGGACUUCAAGGGGGAAACAAGUAUUUCUAGGUAGUGUGCAGGCACAUAUGUGACACAGGGCACCCUCCCCUCCUGAGGCCAUCUUAAGCAAACAUCUGGGCUACUUCUACAAUAGGGAAAAGAUCUGAGACAGAGUGGUUCAGCAAGAAUGGGAAUCUCUAGUUUAUUAUUUUCGGGUUAAGUUAAUAUGCAAAUUAUGCAAAAUAUCAUGGGUAAAUACAGUAAUUAUUGUAGCUUUAAAAGCUUUUUAUUGUAGCUAGGGAACGGCAGCCUUAAUUGCAAAGCGCACACACCAUUCUGUGAUUCAUCAUUCAUUUAACAAAUAUUUAAUAAGCACCUUAUGAGAAAAGCUGCAGUUGGUUUUGUGGAGGAUGGGAGGAUGACUAAGAACCAGUCCCGUUGUCAUGGAAACCAUUGUGACUCCUGCCAUCAGCUGCCACCUGUUCUUAUUCCAGAUCUGAAAAUUAAGUCCUAGCACCUUUACAAGACUAUCACACACACAGUUUGACUUUGGCUCCAAAAUGUCCCACCAAAUCCAACAAAAUUAUUUACUUUGACAUGGGAGAACAACACAGUAACCCUUUGUCCUUUGCUCUAAGUUGUUUUUCCAGGAAUGGAGAAAGGUUACUCUGAACUGCUCAUAUUCACUAGCUCUCUGCUUGUGAGUAAUAGCAGGGUCUGUGCCGGUGACCCAUUCAAUAAGGUAGCCUCACAUGCCCUUGUCCUUUCAGACACUUCAGCCUCCCCCCCAGAGGGCCACACCUUAAAUGGUGUUGCUUGACCUCUAGGAGUCUAAACUGGCCACAGCUGUCUCUUGCAUGUUCAUUGUCCGAAUUUCCCUCAUGUCCUCCAAUCCUUUAAUCCCUCUAAAAUUACUAGUUUUUCAUUCCUCCACUAGAAUGAGGUGGAGUUUAGAGGCUGCAAAAAAUGGGAAGAGGGGCGGUGGGGAGGAUAUCUUACUAUUCAGAGGCUUUUGGACACCUUGCUACUUAGAAGGAAUACUUACUGGAGUGGUGUGGAGGUGGGGUGAUGAUGGAGAUGCUGGGUAGAAUAAAUAGAAGAGAGAGGAGAGAGUGAGAAUAGGAUACUAAACUAAAAGCUAGUAAAAAGAGAAAAAUAUUUUUCAAAACAUGUGUAGUUUAAAGGAACAGUUAUAUGUGUGCAAAGAAGUAAGGAGUGCAAAGAAUUGGAAGGCAUCAAGGAUGGCUAUAAUUUUUCCAACGUCGGGACCAAGUAGAUGAGUGAUAAUGCAUGAAUCAAGUUAAAGAACAAUGGAGGUCAAUAAAUCAAAAGAACAGAAAGUGUAAGACCCCAAAUCCUUCUGGAGUCAGAAGCUCGACUUCCAUUCUUCACUUCUCUAUAUGGUCGUUUCCCUUUUUUCCCCAGAGGGUAUGGGAAUAUCAGGAUAUAUAUAGAGCCGCAACUCUCAUUCCAAGAGGACUCUGAGGAGCCAACCUGAAUCUCAGAAUGUUCUGUCUCGGUGGGAAGGAGGAGGAGUCAGCCGUGAGGCCCAGAGGCACAGGACUUGCCUGAGACUGAGGCUGAUUCCAGGAGAAUCAAGGACCACAACCUGCCUUCCAACACAGCCUAGCAACAGGCAGCAAGCAGUCUGUUGCCAAGGAGAAGGCAAGACUGUGGAGAGAAACCCCACGGAGUGGUGCAAAUAUGCAGGUGUCCUAGCUUGGAUUAUAAAUUUCAUGGCCAGCACUAGUUAUUGACAACAGCAGGAGGUGAGGAAGCCAGCAGGUGACUCAGGGACAGCCACAAGAGCAGAAGACAUGGGGAACCAGACCGAUACCAACAAUGGACCUGGAGAUAAACAGUUGAAGGGCUUGAGCAUGGCUCCCCGGCAAAGGCAUGGAGGCUCCCACUUCAGUUUCUUAAGUAUCUCUUGAACUCCCAUGUUGGGUGAGUUCGUGGUUCAAGCUCAUUCCUCCUAAAUUACUACAAAACAAUCACUGGAUCCUAUUCCCACCUGCUUUGGCUCACAGGGAAGCUCAGGCCCACCGCCAGGCUGUGGCAGACAUUUCCCAUGGAUUGCUGGUAAGAGCAGCUAUGUGGCAGUCCCUCUCUGAGCUCCCUGAGCCAGAGUAUGGCUUGAGAUUUACGGUGGUGAGUUACCUGGUGGAGGAAGUCCUGCUCUAAUGGUCUUUGUGCCGCUAUCAGUGACUUGGUGGAAGCCUGUUUGGAAGUUCAGGGCAAGAAACUCACAGUGGCUGCCAAGGUCCAAGGUAAGGGAUCCAGUUUGGGAGCACAGAAGCUGAGUCCUGUCACAGAAUUGUGAGACCAGGUUCCCAGGAUUCAGGGUGGCUAGUAAAUGCAAAAUCUGGCUGCAGUGGUUUCCUUUGGAUGCCUCCAGUUUGUGGGCAGGCAUCCAAAGGAAAGGUAUCUUUUAUUAGCUUUUUAAGUUUUUGGAGGAGAGGGCACCAGACAGAAUUCUCCUAGUUUGGGUCUCUGCGUGUUGCUCACUGGCAAAAUAAAAUACGACAAAUCCCAGAAUCCAGUGUGAUUGCCAUAGCAGUAUAAACCCUUUCUACAAAAGAAAUAUUUCAAUAAAGUUGUAAGGAAAAAAGGGUAAAGUCAUCGCUUGAAUGCCUGUUCUGACCCUCUCCUGCUGUCACGCAGGCGUGGGCCUGGGACAUUGAUGAUGCAAAGCUUGUUCAAGAAAGAAUUGGUGAUUAGAUGUGAGGCAAAUUGGCAGGUGGGGUCAAACUACUCACGUAAUACUAACCCAUAUUGGACAAGAAUCAGCUGGAGGGAGAAUUGUUUAAAAGGUAUUCUUAGAGUACCUAGAAAAUUGUCUGCCCAUUUAUGGCUUUUUCCUCUUUUAUUCAGUUAAUAUAUUGAAUUACAUUGAUCGAUUUUCAAGUGUUGAGCCAGUCUUUUGUU